GGAGAUGUUCAAGAGUUUCCUCGUUAUUUUUUUUUUGAGAAAAAGGUAGCACGCUACUUGCUUCAUUCAUUCAGAAUAUGAACUUAACUAUAUAGGUGAGGCAAUAAGGCCUCUAAAGAGAUGAAAAGUCGGACAAAGACGAAAAAAAAAAAUAAAAAUAAAAAUAAAAAUAACUAAAAUAUAGCGUGGAGAUUGAUAAAAUACAUAAUAUAAUGGUAUUUCUGAAAAAAAAAAAAGUAGUAUAAUAUUGCCAAUAAAAAUAAUACUAAAGUAUAUAUAGUAUAGUAUAGUCUAAUUAAACCUCUAAUAGUAUUUAAUAAACUUCGAACUCUAGUUCCUAGGUCCUAUGCUCUUUGUGUUUUUUUUUUGUUAUUGUUGUUGUUGUUGUUGUUUUUCUUUUUUUUUUUCUUUUUUCUUUUUUUUUGAGAGAGAGGUAACACGCUACCCGUUUCGUUUAUUUCAUUUAGAAAUAAACUUAGCUGGAAAUGUGAAUCAACUAGGAUUCGAACUUAGGUCUCGGAUACCAACCACCAAGUCCUUUGCCACUUGCUCUAAGGACGGUCGGUAUGUAGUCCACAUUUCAACCGCUAUAUUUGGAGCCUUACUUACCUGGUGACAAUUUUCUGCAGAUUAAUCGAACACGCUAGUUUGAUUGAUGCCAGAGGGGUCCUCACCAAGUCAAGUCGGAGGUCAAUUCUAUCUCCUUCCCCGUGCACUAGUGUUUUUUUUUUUUUUUUGAGAGAUAGGUAGCACGCUAUUCGCUUCGUUUAUUUCAUUUAGAACUAAAUUUAGCUGGAUAUGUGAAUCAACUAGAAUUCGAAUUUGAGAUCUCGGGUAUCAGUCACCAAGCCCUUCCCCAUACACUAGUGUUAGUUCACGAACCUCCUAGGUUUCCGGUCAAGCCAUGUAAACACGAACCUCCAAGCUUGAUCGUGAUUUCACCGUAACGGUAGUCGAUCGCAGUCAUGUUGAAAGAACCUGCAUGUGGGAGCGCUAGGACGGUGUCGUUGCCCGAGCACGUGAGCUCCAUUCCAGGAGCACCGCAGAACGAAGGGCUCGAGUCGAGCCGGUACGGAAAUCUGAUAUCUGGGCCGCCUUCUGCACACCGCGAAGCCGGGCAUUUCUCGAAGAAAUCGUCAUCUGCAUCAUUUCCUGAGACAGUUAUGUUUCUCCCUGCAGCAGGGAGAAACAGAGCUAACAGAAUAGCAACAAGCCUAGGAGGCACUGCAAAUCUGUGAUGCAGAGAGCCUCCGAGGGAAUUAGAUGCUUGUUCCAACUAAAUUAGUCAAUUAUUGACUACAUUAUUGGGACAUAGAUGUAUACGAGACACGGAACACGAUAUGAUCGGAUAUGAUAAUUAACUCGGCAUCGUUGACAAAAUUUAGGACAUAAACACGAUGAGGUCAAUAAUAAAAUAAUUUUUUAAUGUAAUAUUAUAUAUAUAUUGUGUACAAAAUAUUACAAUAUUUUCAAAUUAGUAAAUAAAUUCUAAUUCUAUACCCCACAAAGUUGGUGCAUAAAUUCAUUACCUGCUCUGCGUUUAUAAGUAGGUUGCAUUCGCUACACACAUCACAACAACAUUUUUGAACCUCAUAUGAUAUUAAAAACAUUAUACACAAAAAAUUAUAAAAUUUUGAAUGAUGAAUUUUGUUUAUAUGGAACAACGGUUAUUUUAACGCUAUAGAUUCUUUUUUCUUUUUUUUUUUUGAUUAACCAAGGAUUUACCCUAUUUGAAAAGGAGCUACAGGGGGAGGAAGGCAAGAACCUUGCACUGCAUAACGCAAGGGUUCAGUGCACUGGUAAUCAGAAAAAGGAAGUAAAACAAGAAUUGCUACUAGUGUAAUAACCCAACGAGAUUUCUUAGCUCUUCCAAACAGACAACCAGAGCUUAACUAAGUUAGCAAUAAUCUUUCCCAAAUCUCCGAGCGAAGAGCGUUUGGAGGUAAAGAUUCUGGCAUUCCUCUCUUUCCAUAACUCCCAGCAUGCUGCCACAAAAACAAGAUCAAACGAAGCUUUUGAGUUUCUCGGUAGCAACGGUCUGCAGCGAGACCAUCUAAUGGCGACCUCCCCAUCAGUUGUUUCCAGCAAGUCAGCUAUGGUCGGGUGAUGGUGAAGAAGCAUCCUCCAUAGGGCGCUCGAGAAGUUGCAUCGAAACAGGAGAUGUUCAAGAGUUUCCUCGUUAUUUUUUUUUUGAGAAAAAGGUAGCACGCUACUUGCUUCAUUCAUUCAGAAUAUGAACUUAACUAUAUAGGUGAGGCAAUAAGGCCUCUAAAGAGAUGAAAAGUCGGACAAAGACGAAAAAAAAAAAUAAAAAUAAAAAUAAAAAUAAAAAUAAAAAUAAUAAAAAUAAAAAUAUUAAUAAUAAAAAAAAAUCAUUGUUUCUCCAUAGGGCGAAAAUUUUUCCAUAGGAACGUCAAGUAUUUAACCUUAUAGCAACCACGGAUUAGAUCAGUCUGAUUCCUCCAAAAAAAUUUUCCUCGUUAUUGUAACACAAUACACAUA
rnacentral:lncRNA from 1 species